GCAUGAGCUGAGAAUGCACUGACA
rnacentral:piRNA from 1 species